rnacentral:sRNA from 1 species
UAAUAGAUGCACCCUGAUUCCUAUCUCGCCCCCAGUUCUUAACAGCUGGGGGUUUUUUAU